UGCUGGGGAGCCAGCUGAGCUCCACGCCUUUGGAGGAGUGUGGGACUUGCCACUUUCUGGCCAUAAGUUUCUGAAUGCAGGAACCGAGUGAAGGUGAGCUGUUCUGGGGUCCAGUCCGGAAGUGGGGGUGGGUGCUUGAGCCAGGAACCCAGGAAAAGAGGAAGGAAAGGUAAGCUGGGCCAGAGAAAAGAGGAGGGAGGCUGAGGAGGAUGCCUGCCUGGGAGCUAUGCAGGCAGGGGAAGGGUGUGUGUUGGGGGGGGCUUUUAAUGAUGCCUGGUCCUUGAUGAGUCACUGUCAGGUGUCACAUACAGCCUGAGGCACAAGGAGACCUGGCUUAGAGGGCCCAGAAAGCAAUAAAUGUGGAGCCAAGCCAGGCCUGGAUUUCAGACUUUUCUACUCACUAGCUGUGUGGCCCUAGGCAGAUUUCUUGGCCUCUCUGAGCCUCUCAUUCUGGGACCAAAUAGCUUUUGUUUCAACUUUACUGGGCAGGUUGUAAGAUCAGAUGUUAAUCAUACCCCAGAUUCUCUCACUCCCCUGGCUGGUUUAGUGCCCCUUCAUCCCCAGGUCCUCGGAGUGGCAUUAUUCCUCAGCUUCCCACCCCCACCGCCUGUAAGCGGUGGCAGGAAGACGGCUGGGAGUGCCCCAGCCCCUCUAAAAAGGUUGGAGCCAAUCCAGGGCCUGCGUGGUGAGGGGACCAGAUGGGAGACUGGGGUAGGGGGUGCAGGGACCUUCCUAUACCUGCUUCAACCCCAUGUCUCCCCUUCCCCCCUCCCUCUGAUUGGAUAUUUGGGAGUCCCUCCUCUUUUUCUAAGCCCAGGCCCUGCUCAUCUGCUCCAUAACAAGGAGCAAAUGUUAUUUAAAAGGAGAUCAGGAGAUUUGCCUUAAAUAGGCAUGGAGUGCUGUGCCAGGGCCCAGGGUGUGGUGGGGAGGGGUGAGGCCACCCUGGGUGGUGGAGAGAAUUGCGCAGAGCCGAAGGAGAGGAGAAGGCCCUCCCCAGGGGUGUGCACUGCCCUUCACAGUUUACCCAACUUAGCCCCAGGCUGUGGCAGAUUGGUCACACAGGGCUUAUUCCCACUCCACCCCCAUUCUGAGGAUGGGGAAACCAAGGCCCAGCUCAGGGAACUGAUGGGUGUCCAGCUGCCAAGUGGUAUCCGAGGUGGAUGCUGUGGUCUUUCUGCCACGGCCCCCAGGAGCUGGAAGAAGGUAUCUGGGAGGAGGCCAAGGGCCCCGAACUAGGGCCUCCUGCAGCCAGGAUGUGGGAUCCUGCAGAGUGGGGCAUAUCUUGGGGCCUCCCCCUGACAUCUACCCCCACCACCAGGUCCCAGGCCUUUAGCUCCUGCCCCCAGUUUGCCCCGGCCUCCCUUCCCAGCCCCAGCUUGUAACUGGACGCCCUCCUCACUCGGCACCUUCCCAGAUGAUGCUCUUGGAAUCCUGAGAAAAUGGAGUCUCUUAAGUGUGCAUUUUCUGGGCCAAGCUAGGGGCAACGAUGUACACCAGCUUGAUCCUUGUUGUGAAGAUCUUGAACACUGAGGGCAGCGGAUGGGCAGCGUCAAUUGCAUCCAGCAUUGGAGAACCGCAGCUGUCCGCCAAGUGCCACAGAAGGGAGCCCUGGAACGGAAAAGAAGCCUGCUUCCAAGAGACCCAUAGGCGGACACGAGAAUCCUGAG